AACCUGAUGCUGCUUCCUGCUACAUCAUUUAGGUAAAGAUAAUCUCCUGGAGUAAACAUGAGCGAUAAAAUUAUUCACCUGACAGAU
rnacentral:sRNA from 1 species